rnacentral:rRNA from 1 species
UGGGGAAUUGUUCGCAAUGGGCGCAAGCCUGACGACGCAACGCCGCGUGGAGGAUGAAGAUUUUCGGAUCGUAAACUCCUGUCGAAUGGGACGAAUAGCUCGGCCGCUAAUAACGGCUGGGAAUGACGGUACCGUGAGAGGAAGCCCCGGCUAACUCCGUGCCAGCAGCCGCGGUAAUACGGGGGGGGCAAGCGUUGUUCGGAAUUACUGGGCGUAAAGGGCGCGUAGGUGGCCAUAUAAGUCAGACGUGAAAGCCCUGGGCUCAACCGGGGAACUGCGU